UGCAUUGGGCGGCGGGCGUGCGUGGCGAGAGUUACGCGGCGUGCGCCGCGCAGCGUUUACCACGUGCUAGGGAGGAGUUCGUCCCAUCGAUUACGAAACGAAAUUUCCUCGAGUCCCGUGCAACAUUCACGAAAAAUCGUGCUUUUAUUUUCAUCGAGCUGCGCGGAUUAACGCGCGAAUGGAUGAGUUUGAACGUCGAUAGAUCGAUUAAUGUGUCGUAGUAUUUAAAUUUGUAGGAAUUGAAAUGAUCGUGCUUUCUUCGUGAUUAUCGUGACUCGUUUUAAUUCCGAGGUGAACAUUUUCUGUGGUGAAAAUAUGGUAACAAUCUUUUGCAUCGUUAAACAUUGAAAAUACCAGACAACGGAUAGUAAAUCAGAGGGAGGAUUUCACGGACGAACAGUGUGCACGCUGCAGCGAUAGAUAACGGAGGCCGAGACCGUUGUUGGCGGAGAACAGGGCAGUUUUAAGGUGCUGAUUUAUCGUGAACACCGUUUAAAGAUGAAAGCAUACUUCGUCGAGAAAUCGUGACUCGUUAAUCGCUACCAUCGUCGAUUUCUUUGACCAGUUAUUAACGAGCCGCUGAAUCGCGUCGAUCCUAUUCCCGGAUGAUCGAGAAAACAUAUGGAUUUUUUUUAUCCUUUCACGCUGUAAUAUAAAAAUAAAAAAGUAAAAAAUUCGAAACGAAA